UACGAAGGGGGCUAGCGUUGCGCGGAAUCACUGGGCGGAAAGCGCACGUAGGCGGAUUGUUAAGUCAGGGGUGAAAUCCUGGAGCUCAACUCCAGAACUGCCUUUGAUACUGACGGUCUUGAGUUCGGGAGAGGUGAGUGGAACUGCGAGUGUAGAGGUGAAAUUCGUAGAUAUCGGGAGGAACACCAGUGGCGAAGGCGGGCACCUGGGCUAACACUGACGCUGAUGCGCGAAAGCUAGGGGAGCAAACAGG
rnacentral:rRNA from 1 species